GUUAAAAUCUGUUAGAGUUAGUUAAGUGCUUCUAUAGUUCAUUUAGAAUUUGUUACUAGUUUGUUAAGAUCAUUAUGUUUAUACCUAGUGACUCUAUAUAAACUAGUAAGCUCUUGUAAUAGAUUCAAACUUGACAUUCACUUUGAGAUAAUCAAUAAUCUUGAGCAAUCAUGAGAGCUUAAAAUUCUCUCUUCAAUGGAGUAAUUUGAUUUAGGUUGGAUAUGUAGAAACACAUGAUAACAUUUGGGCAAUUCCUUUAUUUCUUGUUUCUCCUAUUGCGCUAAUUGCACGUGUUCGCUAGUACAAAAAGAGAAAACAUCUACAUCAAUGCUGGAAAGUACUCCCUAGAGAAAGUGGUAAGAAAUUUCCAAAAGCAAGCACAAUAACUUUUCUCAAAAAGUACUAUUAAUCAGCUCUAUAUAAUGCAAAACUCCAGUUUUACUUCACAACAACAAGAAAAUUGUGCCAAGAGUUUUGGUUAGGAAACCAAGCAAGACGUAGUUUUACUUCACUUCACAAUCACAACAUGUGUGAGAGGGUGACAAAUCUCUUAAUUAAGGGAUCACAUGGUUGAAGUAGCAACAAGCUGAUUCACCUUUGUUUUGUUCAAAAUGAAUGAGAAGUGAGAAUUCAGAAUUCCCAAAAUGUUCAAAACUCUCAAUAUGUUGGCGAGAAAGUCUUCCUUGGAUACAAGCCCAACACAUCAUAUUUGGACACAUCCAAUUAAAUUAUGACAGCUCAUAAGAUAUACUGUUGCAAAAUAAAAAAAGAAAAUGGUUGUACUUUCAAGAUUAAUCCGUGACUAUCACAUAUUUUCUAUAUAAAAUAAUAAAAAAAAAAACCAUUAAUUGUCUUUCUCUCUUCCAACUUUGUGGCCACCUGCGAUCUCCGCCUGCGAACUUUGCUGUGCUUCCACUACUUCGACCUUAAGUCCAUCGCGCGCUGCACUGGCUCGUCUUCUCCAUCCGCUAUGAUAACCGCACAACAAAGCACCACGUUCUGAUGAGAUUGUGGAAGAACUCAAGACUUUAACCAUGUCUUUUAUGGAGUCUGGGUUGGGAUUUUGGGGAUUUAGGUUAUGAUUAUUUUCAAUAUGGUUGAGAAUUAAAUUGGAUCUUAGUAUUUCCUUACUCUGUAGCAGUCCUUAUUGUUAUGCCCAUUUCUUGUAAUUGUAAGAUUGAAUCAAUUCUUGGAAGAGUUUUGUCCAUCAAUGGAAGCAUUCUGUUUUAUCAUUGUGGUUCCCUUAUUGCUUUUGUUGUUUA